GUUUUCUACAAUGUUUAGCUUUUAUUCUAGAUGUGGUUUUAGGAAAUAGUACUUAAACAUAAUAUUGUGCGGUGUGAUGAUGAAUUACGCAAGCCAUUGAGUAAAUAUAUUUUGUCUAUAGAUAACGUUGCAGUGACAAAACUUCUUGGUAAUGUAAAUGCACUACUCGAGACGCUCGGCCGCGUACCUCUGCGAGGUUAGUUAUAGAGGAGGAUAGUCGCUGCAGGGAACUCCUCCGCUGUGUGGUGACUAGCUUGCGAACUACAUUAAUCGGUCGCCUCAGCGCUAGCAUCGUCUGUGGUGCGAAGAAUGACUCAGAAGGUGUCACGUCCCCACUAUCCUCCUGAAUCGACGGAACCUUUAAACCAAAAUACUUUUCUAGGAACACAAUACGUAUAUAAGCUUUGUUAUUUUGAUGUGCUUGUUACAAGUGCUGCCUAAGAUACCGUAUUGUUUGUUGUUUGAUAACAGGUAUUUUGUACGCAAUAUUAAAUAAAAUAAUGAUUUACGAGUUGUA